rnacentral:rRNA from 1 species
AUUGAACGCUGGCGGCAUGCCUUACACAUGCAAGUCGAACGGUAACAGGUCUUCGGAUGCUGACGAGUGGCGAACGGGUGAGUAAUACAUCGGAACGUGCCUAGUAGUGGGGGAUAACUACUCGAAAGAGUGGCUAAUACCGCAUGAGAUCUACGGAUGAAAGCAGGGGAUCGCAAGACCUUGUGUGACUAGAGCGGCCGAUGGCAGAUUAGGUAGUUGGUGGGAUAAAAGCUUACAAAGCCGACGAUCUGUAGCUGGUCUGAGAGGACGAUCAGCCACACUGGGACUGAGACACGGCCCAGACUCCUACGGGAGGCAGCAGUGGGGAAUUUUGGACAAUGGGCGAAAGCCUGAUCCAGCAAUGCCGCGUGCAGGAUGAAGGCCUUCGGGUUGUAAACUGCUUUUGUACGGAACGAAAAGCCCCGGGUUAAUACCCUGGGGUCAUGGCGGUACCGUAAGAAUAAGCACCGGCUAACUACGUGCCAGCCGCCGCCGUAA